UUCAUUUGCUGACUGUCGAGGGGGGAAGGCCGCAGACCGGGCUCCUGGCUGCUCGCAGAGCUGGGCUCGCCCUGUCCGUCCGUCCGCCCGUGUCGGGUGCCAAGCGGUUCGAAGUUUCCAGGACUCCCUAGAUGAUGAAGAGGCGGCAUCGUUGGCAAUGUUUCCAAGAGCAGCCAUGGGUGUGAAUUCAUAGCAAGCGGCAGACAGAGUUGCAACUUUAGGCCUCAGCCCAGUCAGCCUAGUCCUCAAUUUGUUGCUGAGUGGGGAACGGGCAUUGCUAAACACAGCUCCCCUGUGCUGAGAGAAACUGAUCCGGACGCCCAGGAAAGCCAGGAUUCUCUUGGAGACUCCCAGUCAAAUAUAGAGAGUUUCCAGGUUUGGAUAUGUUGCACAAUGUAGCAGAACUACGAUGGAAAUUAGGUCAUUGUCUUAAUGUUAUCUUUCUUCAUUACCAUACCUGGAGACUGCAGGUGAAGAACCGCUUCUCUGGGUCUCCAGGUCACCGCAGAGAAUCUCUGGGUCUCCGGGGGCCAUUUCCACUUAAAUUAGAACUCCAAAUAUCUUUACACAGGGAACAUCAGCAGACUGCCCAUUGACAUCAGCAGAGUUCCCACUGAAAUCAGCCCCCCCCCAGACGACCAGGUAGCUGGAGGCUGAAUGCUCCCAAAUAUGUUCAUUCCACCCUUACAAAGACUUGAACUGGCAGGAACAAUUUCCAACUACUAAAUGAUAAGGGAGAAAUAGCUUAAAAGAAGGAAUAAUCAGGAAA